CCCUUAGAUGUCCUGGGCCGCGCGCGCGCUACACUGAACGGAUCAGCGCGUUUUCCCUUCCCGAGAGGGACGGGUAACCUGCUGAACCCCGUUCGUGGUAGGGAUCGGGGCUUGCAAUUAUUCCCCGUGAACCAGGAAUGCCCAGUAAGUGCAAGUCAUAAGCUUGCGUUGAUUACGUCCCUGCCCUUUGUACACACCGCCCGUCGCUACUACCGAUUGAACGUUUUAGUGAGGUACUCGGACUGAGCCUCAGAAGAUUCACGUCUUUUGUGCUGCUCGGGAAGAUUCCCAAACUUGAGCGUUUAGAGGAAGUAAAAGUCGUANCA
rnacentral:rRNA from 1 species